CACUUGAAAUGUCAAAACGGUUUGAUUCUGUGCUAGAAUCAGAAUCAGGAUGAGUUUUAUUGCAUCAUCUGCACAAUAUAUUUGUCUUGCUUUCAGUGGACUGAGAACAACAAGACAUGACAAAUUCUAAAGUUGAAAACAAAAAUAUGAAUAGAAAUGCACAAUAUGACAUUAAGGCUGUAGAUUAGCAUGUGCAUUUUUGGCAAGAAGGACUAAUGUGCAAAAGUACAGGUAUUUAAAUAAAUAUGUUUUAGAUUAAGAUUGUGAAUCUGUGGACCAGUGUCAGCAAUAUGUAGUAGAAGCAAACUGAUUUGUUAAUAAAAAAAUGAUGUGUAGAAAACCGAAAUCGACAGUACUCCAAGUGACCUUGAUUAAUCUUUAUUACUGAGUCUUGAAAAAUGCAUCAAAUCAAACUUGCCUGUUUAAACAAAAGCAUUACUGACUGAUUAAAGCAACAUUUUACUCUUAUGGGCAAUAAAUCCCAUUUGUGAUCAGAUCGAUGACCAGCUAAGCACCCCAAAAAUAAUGUUCAACUAGUUAUUAUAUAUAUUAUUUAUAUGAUACAGCAGUAUUUCGGUUUUUCUGCUGAUGCAGCAAAUGCGACACAAAUCUAAUAACAUUAGUGCUUUGUCAUUUGUCUGUCGCAGAUUGCGCUAGUUCAUGGGAAUGUGUGCUUUUUAGCCUCUCGUGUGUGAAAAUCAGCAGGAAGUGAUGUAAUUCAGAGACAUUUGACUGCCUGUCAACUCUGGAGGGAUUAAAUACUCUUUGAUAUUUUCUCAGAUGCAUUUUUACAUUUCUUGUCCUCUCCUUCUGUCUCUCUCUCUCUCUCUCUCUCUCUCUCUCUCUGUUCUGUUUUAGAAGAGUGGCCCCCGAUGAAACCAUGGUAGUACAUCCUCUGCUGCAUCCGAGCAUGAGAUAUGAUGUGACAGAUGCCUGGUCACUGCUGGAAUUUGUGCUUGGCCAGACAAACAUGAGUCAAGCAAUUACUGUCACUUUGGAGGAUGAAUUAAACACAGAAGCAUAUGCACGUCGAAGGUAGCUGCACAUACAGAUGAGGAAAUUCAAGGGUUUAAGUUUAUUCUCAAGGACAGAUGCUUAAGGACAAGGGAGCUUUCAUGCAACUCAUCUAAACAGGCCUCAUAGAUAUAUAUAUAUAUAAAAAAAAAACAGACACAAAUAUAUUUGGGUGCAUGUCAUUAAUGUGCUAAAAUCGAUAUAUGUGAAAAAAAAAUGCAUUGUGACAUAUUAUCUUGAAAAUUAAGCAUGUUUUCCCUCAUUUUUUUUUAUUUAACUUUGCAUUUAUUUUUUUUUUAAAUCAUUAAUUUUAUUGGAUUUUUCUCAGUGAUGAUUCUUAUUAGCUUUAACCUGUUAAUGUUUGUGUUAAAAUAGAUAUGUGAAAGCAAUUUUUUAAGCAUGAAUUAAAUGCAAUGCAACAAAGCAAUUUCUAGCUUGAAUUCAGUGCAUUGCAACAUAUAUUGUCAUACUGCAUAAGUAUUCUAAAUGUAAAUGUAUAUAUAUAUAUAUAUAUAUAUAUAUAUAUAUAUAUAUAUGAUAAAAAAGCCUAAUAAACCAUUUUUUCAAGCAUGAAUUGAAUGCA
ensembl:lncRNA